UCGGCGCCGUGGUCGACGGGGACCUGUCGUUCGCGCUGACGUGGCCGCGGCGUGCCCCGGAUCGCGCGGCACUGGA
rnacentral:tRNA from 1 species